rnacentral:rRNA from 1 species
AUUGAACGCUGGCGGCAGGCCUAACACAUGCAAGUCGAGCGGAGCGGCAGACGGGUGAGUAAUGCCUAGGAAUCUGCCUGGUAGUGGGGGAUAACGUCCGGAAACGGUAGCUAAUACCGCAUACUAUCAGAUGAGCCUAGGUCGGAGUCGCUAGUUGGUGGGGUAAAGGCCUAGCAAGGCGACGAACCGUAACUGGUCUGAGCGGAUGAUCAGUCACACUGGAACUGAGACACGGUCCAGACGCCGACGGGAGGCAGCAGUGGGGAAGAUUGGACAAUGGGCGAAAGCCGGAUCCAGCCAUGCCGCGUGUGUGAAGAAGGUCUUCGGAUUGUAAAGCACUUUAAGUUGGGAGGCGUUACCAACAGAAUAAGCACCGGCUAACUUCGUGCCAGCAGCCGCGGUAAUAC